rnacentral:lncRNA from 1 species
CAGUUCCCUUGCUGGCUUCGACUGAAUGAUUCCCCUGUGAAGUCCCUUGUUUACUGUAUUUGUAAUUAGCCACCAAGAACUUGAGUAACCGGUUUCCGAGGAGAACAUAUAUCCUGAAUCAGUUCCUGGACAUUUGUUUGAGGUCUUGUAAGGGAAACUGAAGGGAAUUGUGUAUUGAACAGGAUGGCUUAGACCUGCUCAACUUCUGAGAAUUGAGGCAAAGUGGGCAAUCCAGAUGUAUCACUUGACUUUCUGACUACUGGAAGAAUUUCCCUUCAUUAUUGCACACCAGGGGUAUCCCACAGUUAAGUGAAAAGAUAGCAAGGGGAAGCACUGAAGCUGCAUCGUGAGCGAGAGAUGCCCAGCCACCAGGCAGCUGCUCCACCCACCUCACCCUCAGCCUACUUUCCUCCACCCUCAACCUUGUACUUUUGUUGCUCCAACCACUGUCUGGUUACAAUCAGAGGAGAGAUUCCAAGACAGUAGCACCCAGCUAAACCCUUCCUGAAUUCGCAACUCACAAAAGUUAUAAAAGACAAUAAAAUGACUGUUCUUUAAGUUAUAUGUUUUGAAGUGAAUUAUUAUUCAGCAACAAAUAACCCAUAACAUCAUCCUUUUUUCCUCACCUCCACUUCCCAGUUUUGCCUCCAGUCUGAGUACUUAAAGUUAGGCCUACAAAUCCAGUCCUUUCCCUUCAAAGGAAACUUAUUAUAAACUGAGGCAUCCAGAAAAAGGCUGUCAUGAGGUUUUAAUGUCAUUCUCUGCUCUCUUCAUU